GCUUACGGCCACACCUCCCUGAGCACGCCCGAUCUCGUCUGAUCUCGGAAGCUAAGCAGGUCGGCCCGUUAGUACUUGGAUGGGAGACCGCCUGGGAAUACCAGGUGCUGUAAGCC
ensembl:rRNA 5S_rRNA 5S ribosomal RNA